rnacentral:lncRNA from 10 species
CAAAGAUCACUCGGGACCACCUUGUAUAUUGGCUACCACAGAACCCAACACAAGCACACUGCAAUGAAUGCUGCUGCACACGCUGUUGAGCUCGUGGACACUUUCCUGCUGGGUGAGGACCCGAACGUGAAAUUGCUGGGUCAUGGAUUCAAGUGCUACACAUAUUUUUGACCACAUUACUGUGACUCAGGAAGCCCAGGAACAGAAUUCUAGGCACCAGAACCAUACAUGUUACAGCCUCUGAGCUUUAUGGCCUCUGAGCCAUUUGUCCAGCCACAUCAUUUGCAGAUGAGAUCCUGAGACUCAGGCUGGAAAAGUGACCGGGGAAAAGUCACACAAGUCAGAGGCAGAGCUGGAGUUUCCUCAUUUCCAGGCCCGUAUAGAUCAAGACGGACGUUGGUCAAACACCUCCUAGUACUCACAUGAAGAAGCUCUCCUUUCUGCUGUAGGAAUGAUCACACACCAUUCCAAUCUGGAUACCAAAUGUCAUUGUUUAUUAAAUGUGUGCAGUGUGCCAGGCAUAUUGUGUCAUAUGUUUACAUGUGUCAUAUAUUUACAUUACAUAUGAUCGCUGGUUCUUACAACAACCCUUCAAGACAGGUCAUAUCAAGCCCAUUUUUCAGACGGGAAAAAGAGCUCAGAGGGGAUGAUUAGCUUGUUCAGGUUUUCCAGUUUCCUUAGGAAGUGGCAGAGCUGGAUCUGAACUCUGCUUGUGACUACUUGGGGGAUGGAGGAGUGAACUCCUUUUUAUCAGAUCCUGGCUGCUUCGGCACCAGAAGAAUGCUUCUUCCCCCUCAGGCCCUGGGGGGUUCCUCUAAAGAAUAGAGACUCCCGGCUUUCCAUGAGACAAAAAGCAGGCAAUUCAACACGGCAAGCCCUUAAUAUACCUGCACGUUUCUCUGUAAGGACUGAUUUAGAAAGCGGACUCACAGCCACUGCACUGAUAGCAGUUUCUAUUCUAAAACCUAUGGAAAUUGUGAACACUUGCCCCCAAAAACUCUCCCAGAAACCUUUAGGACAGUGAGGCUGUGUUCAGAAACUAAUUGCACCCAUAUCUGAGGAGCUACCACAUGAACUUCAUUAUUCACAGAA